AGGGUGGGACUAGUGACAGAGAGAGGGAAGGGGUGACUAGUGACAGAGUGAGGGAGGGAGUGGGUGACUAGUGACAGAGUGAGGAAGGGAGUGACACAAUGACAGAGUGAGGGAGGGGGUGACUAGUGACAGUGCGAAGGAGGUGGUGACUGUCACUAGUCACCCCAUCCCUCCCUCUGUCUCUAAUCACAACCUCCCUCACUCUGUCACUAGUCACCCCCUCCCUCUCUCUGUCACUAGUCACACCCUCCCUCAUUCUGUCACUAGUCACCCCCUCCCUCUCUCUGUCACUAGUCACACCGUCCCU